rnacentral:rRNA from 1 species
UACGAAGGGGGCUAGCGUUGCUCGGAAUCACUGGGCGUAAAGGGUGCGUAGGCGGGUCUUUAAGUCAGGGGUGAAAUCCUGGAGCUCAACUCCAGAACUGCCUUUGAUACUGAGAGUCUUGAGUUCGGGAGAGGUGAGUGGAACUGCGAGUGUAGAGGUGAAAUUCGUAGAUAUUCGCAAGAACACCAGUGGCGAAGGCGGCUCACUGGCCCGAUACUGACGCUGAAGCACGAAAGCGUGGGGGAGCAAACAGG